rnacentral:rRNA from 1 species
UGAACGCUAGCUACAGGCUUAACACAUGCAAGUCGAGGGGCAGCAUUUCAGUUUGCUUGCAAACUGGAGAUGGCGACCGGCGCACGGGUGAGUAACACGUAUCCAACCUGCCGAUAACUCGGGGAUAGCCUUUCGAAAGAAAGAUUAAUACCCGAUGGUAUAAUCAGACCGCAUGGUCUUGUUAUUAAAGAAUUUCGGUUAUCGAUGGGGAUGCGUUCCAUUAGGCAGUUGGUGAGGUAACGGCUCACCAAACCUUCGAUGGAUAGGGGUUCUGAGAGGAAGGUCCCCCACAUUGGAACUGAGACACGGUCCAAACUCCUACGGGAGGCAGCAGUGAGGAAUAUUGGUCAAUGGGCGCAGGCCUGAACCAGCCAAGUAGCGUGAAGGAUGACUGCCCUAUGGGUUGUAAACUUCUUUUAUAUGGGAAUAAAGUUUUCCACGUGUGGAAUUUUGUAUGUACCAUAUGAAUAAGGAUCGGCUAACUCCGUGCCAGCAGCCGCGGUAAUACGGAGGAUCCGAGCGUUAUCCGGAUUUAUUGGGUUUAAAGGGAGCGUAGGUGGACAGUUAAGUCAGUUGUGAAAGUUUGCGGCUCAACCGUAAAAUUGCAGUUGAUACUGGCUGUCUUGAGUACAGUAGAGGUGGGCGGAAUUCGUGGUGUAGCGGUGAAAUGCUUAGAUAUCACGAAGAACUCCGAUUGCGAAGGCAGCUCACUGGACUGCAACUGACACUGAUGCUCGAAAGUGUGGGUAUCAAACAGGAUUAGAUACCCUGGUAGUCCACACAGUAAACGAUGAAUACUCGCUGUUUGCGAUAUACAGUAAGCGGCCAAGCGAAAGCAUUAAGUAUUCCACCUGGGGAGUACGCCGGCAACGGUGAAACUCAAAGGAAUUGACGGGGGCCCGCACAAGCGGAGGAACAUGUGGUUUAAUUCGAUGAUACGCGAGGAACCUUACCCGGGCUUAAAUUGCAUUUGAAUAUAUUGGAAACAGUAUAGCCGUAAGGCAAAUGUGAAGGUGCUGCAUGGUUGUCGUCAGCUCGUGCCGUGAGGUGUCGGCUUAAGUGCCAUAACGAGCGCAACCCUUAUCUUUAGUUACUAACAGGUCAUGCUGAGGACUCUAGAGAGACUGCCGUCGUAAGAUGUGAGGAAGGUGGGGAUGACGUCAAAUCAGCACGGCCCUUACGUCCGGGGCUACACACGUGUUACAAUGGGGGGUACAGAAGGCAGCUACCUGGUGACAGGAUGCUAAUCCCAAAAGCCUCUCUCAGUUCGGAUCGAAGUCUGCAACCCGACUUCGUGAAGCUGGAUUCGCUAGUAAUCGCGCAUCAGCCAUGGCGCGGUGAAUACGUUCCCGGGCCUUGUACACACCGCCCGUCAAGCCAUGAAAGCCGGGGGUACCUGAAGUACGUAACCGCAAGGAGCGUCCUAGGGUAAAACUGGUAAUUGGGG